CUACGGGGCGCUCCAGUGGGGAAUCUUAGACAAUGGGCGCAAGCCUGAUCCAGCCAUGCCGCGUGAGUGAAGAAGGCCUUAGGGUCGUAAAGCUCUUUCGCCAGAGAUGAUAAUGACAGUAUCUGGUAAAGAAACCCCGGCUAACUCCGUGCCAGCAGCCGCGGUAAUACGGAGGGGGUUAGCGUUGUUCGGAAUUACUGGGCGUAAAGCGCGCGUAGGCGGAUUAGUCAGUCAGAGGUGAAAUCCCAGGGCUCAACCCUGGAACUGCCUUUGAUACUGCUAGUCUUGAGUUCGAGAGAGGUGAGUGGAAUUCCGAGUGUAGAGGUGAAAUUCGUAGAUAUUCGGAGGAACACCAGUGGCGAAGGCGGCUCACUGGCUCGAUACUGACGCUGAGGUGCGAAAGUGUGGGGAGCAAACAGGAUUAGAUACCCCUGUAGUC
rnacentral:rRNA from 1 species